AUGCCUUUGGCAUCAGGUAAAAAUGCUGCACUGUUUAGAUACUGCAAAAUUGAGAUUUCACUUGUGAAAUACUUAAGAUCUGAAUGGGAUUUUAUGGAGAAAUGUUUAUGGAGGUGUCAGCUACCCAACACCGCCACCAUGCAGCGAGUGGACACAUCUGAAUUGCUUAACACUGAAAAUGUGCUAGCUCUUCAGAGCUCUAGCAGCCCUCCCCAGAACUGCAGGCAAUUCUACAUUCACUCUAGGCUCUUCUGCUGUGAGAAGUAAGGAGAUUUCAUAGAAACCAUGUCUUAGAGCCCUUUUAAUCAGGUAAUACCACAUUUUACUUGCAGCAUUGAGUGCUUGCUCCCAUAAAUAUUAUUCUUGCUAUUCAAAUACUGCUGUGCUCUUCACACUCCAGAAUCUGGCCCCAUACAAAACUUUUUAGUUUUCUGUUCCUCUUUGCUUCAGGGCCUAACCUCAGAUUCAUAAAAUAUUUGUAACUGUCAGUGUAGUGCAUCCACAGAAACUGCACAGACGCAGAAAGCCUAUCUGAUGUAGUGUUAGCAGGAAGAAUUUUAGAACUGCAAAUACUUAACGGAUUUUUAAGAUACAAAUAUGUAUGUGCACACAUAUAUAAAUACAUACUUUUUUUGUGUAUACUUUGUCUAAUAUAUGAUUUCUUUGAUAAUGGUAUGUCCCAACUGUGUUGUUAGAGAUGAAAAAUGUCUUUAACAAAUUAAGACAAUUUUGGGAAGUUGAUUUACAUUUGUAUAUUUGUGAUACUCAGUCGUAUUUCAUAUUAGAG
rnacentral:lncRNA from 1 species